GACGAACGCUGGCGGCGUGCUUAACACAUGCAAGUCGAGCGAGAACCUGAAGAGGGGUAACCCUGUUCAGGGGAGAGCGGCGAACGGGUGAGUAACACGUGGGCAACCUGCCCCAGACACCGGGAUAACCCAGGGAAACCUGAGCUAAUACCGGAUACUCCGGCGAGAUCGCAUGGUCAUGCCGGGAAAGCUCCGACGGUCUGGGAUGGGCCCGCGGCCUAUCAGCUUGUUGGUGGGGUAACGGCCUACCAAGGCGUCGACGGGUAGCUGGUCUGAGAGGACGGACAGCCACACUGGGACUGAGACACGGGCCCAGACUCCUACGGGAGGCAGCAGUGGGGAAUAUUGCGCUAAUGCGCGAAAGCGUGACGCAGCGACGCCGCGUGGGGA
rnacentral:rRNA from 1 species